GGCUCUUGGGAUAUUUAGAGCCGGGCACGUAUGUGUGCGGCAGACCUGGGUGACUGUCGAUCCGUCAAACUUGACUUCGAGAGGCAUGCAGAAAUGUCAGAGAACUUGUCGAUCGAAUGACGCAUUGACGUCAGAAAGCUCAGGGAUGCUGGGAUCUUGCCGAUCAGACACCACUUGGAUGCCAAGAAGCUUAAGGAUGCCAGGAUCU
rnacentral:lncRNA from 1 species